rnacentral:ncRNA from 1 species
UGGUUUAAUUCGAUGCAAAUCGAAGAAUCUUACCAGGGAUUGACAUGUCACGAAUCCUCUUGAAAGAGAGGGGUGCCUUCGGGAACGCGGACACAGGUGGUGCACGGUUGUCGUCAGCUCGUGCCGUAAGGUGUUGGGUUAAGUCCCGCAACGAGCGCAACCCUCGUGUUUAGUUGCCACCGUUGAGUUUGGAAUCCUGAGCAGACUGGCGGUUGAUUUAUUUCGUACCCCUCGUUCAAUGAGAAAAUGGGUCAAAUUCUAUAGGAUCAAACCUAUGGGACUUA